CUGGCUGCUGGGGACAGUUUGCAUCUUCAUUUAAAAUGAACCUGCUACUGAUUUUCCUGUUCAUGCUGGAGGCCCCUUCAGGUGUCCUCUCCCAAGUGCAGCUGAAGGAAACGGGCCCAGGAGCGGUGAAACCCGGGGAGUCCCUGACACUCACUUGUACCAUCUCUGGAGACUCAGUUUCUAGCACCAGCGUCACCUGGACCUGGGUCCGGCAGCCCGCGGGGAAAGGGCUGGAAUGGGUAGGGCGCAUUUACUACAGACCGAGCCAGUGGCACACUAACUACGCCAGCUCUCUGCAGAGUCGAACGACCAUCACACAAGACACUUCCAAGAACCAGUUCUCCCUGCAGCUCCGCUCGCUGACAGCUGCAGACACGGCCAUGUAUUACUGUGCCAGAGAGACACAGUUCCGGGUUCAGCGGGUGGGCCUGGGACAUGGUGACCCUGUGUUUGGAUCAGGGACUGAACCCAGCUGA